GACAGAGGGUGCGAACGUUGUUCGGAAUUACUGGGCGUAAAGCGCGUGUAGGCGGUCGUGCAAGUCGGGUGUGAAAGCCCUGGGCUCAACCCAGGAAGUGCAUUCGAUACUGCGCGACUGGAGUCCCGGAGAGGAUGGUGGAACUCUCGGUGUAGAGGUGAAAUUCGUAGAUAUCGAGAAGAACACCGGUGGCGAAGGCGGCCAUCUGGACGGUGACUGACGCUGAGACGCGAAAGCGUGGGGAGCGAACAGG
rnacentral:rRNA from 1 species